rnacentral:rRNA from 1 species
AUUGAACGCUGGCGGCAGGCCUAACACAUGCGAGUCGAACGGUAACAGGAAGCAGCUUGCUGCUUCGCUGACGAGUGGCGGACGGGUGAGUAAUGUCUGGGAAGCUGCCUGAUGGAGGGGGAUAACUACUGGAAACGGUAGCUAAUACCGCAUAAUGUCGCAAGACCAAAGAGGGGGACCUUCGGGCCUCUUGCCAUCGGAUGUGCCCAGAUGGGAUUAGCUUGUUGGUGGGGUAACGGCUCACCAAGGCGACGAUCCCUAGCUGGUCUGAGAGGAUGACCAGCCACACUGGGACUGAGACACGGUCCAGACUCCUACGGGAGGCAGCAGUGGGGAAUAUUGCACAAUGGGCGCAAGCCUGAUGCAGCCAUGCCGCGUGUAUGAAGAAGGCCUUCGGGUUGUAAAGUACUUUCAGCGGGGAGGAAGGGAGUAAAGUUAGUACCUUUGCUCAUUGACGUUACCCGCAGAAGAAGCACCGGCUAACUCCGUG